rnacentral:rRNA from 1 species
UGGGGAAUUUUGGACAAUGGGCGCAAGCCUGAUCCAGCCAUGCCGCGUGAGUGAAGAAGGCCUUCGGGUUGUAAAGCUCUUUCAGGUGGAAAGAAAUCGCACUUUCUAAUACAAGGUGUGGAUGACGGUACCAUCAGAAGAAGCACCGGCUAACUACGUGCCAGCAGCCGCGGUAAUACGUAGGGUGCGAGCGUUAAUCGGAAUUACUGGGCGUAAAGCGUGCGCAGGCGGUUAUGUAAGACAGAUGUGAAAUCCCCGGGCUCAACCUGGGAACUGCGUUUGUGACUGCAUAACUAGAGUACGGCAGAGGGAGGUGGAAUUCCGCGUGUAGCAGUGAAAUGCGUAGAGAUGCGGAGGAACACCGAUGGCGAAGGCAGCCUCCUGGGCCAGUACUGACGCUCAUGCACGAAAGCGUGGGGAGCAAACA